ensembl:lncRNA
AACGUUUUAUUCAUAGUAAUGUUAUUGAUAGUCGUGUCUUUUAUGUACGUCGUUAGCAGUCACUUCACGUUAUCCAGUUCGCUGUGUUAUUAAUAAUCACGCUGUUAAUGGUCAUGGUAAUAGAAUAUUUCUGUUCUGGAACCGUGAUGAUGUUCUUACGAAAGAGUUCCAGAACUACUGUGUAGUUCUUGUUCAGGGGAGUUCUGGAACUGUGUAGUUCCUGUUCAGGCGAGUCCAGGAACUGUGUAGUUCCUGUUCAGUAACAGUGAAUUUCCUGUUCAGGAGAAUACUGUCACUGUUUAGUUCCUGUUGAGGUGAGUCUAGGAACUGUGUAGUUCCUGUUCUGUAACUGUGUAGUUCCUGUUCAGGAGAAUACUGUCACUGUGUAGUUCCUGUUGAGGUGAGUUCAGGAACUGUGUAGUUCCUGUUCUGUAACUGUGUAGUUCCUGUUCAGGAGAAUACGGUAACUGUGUAGUUCCUGUUGAGGCGAGUCUAGGAACUGUGUAGUUCCUGUUCUGUAACUGUGUAGUUCCUCUUGAGGCGAGUCCAGGAACUGUGUAGUUCCUCUUGAGGCAGUCCAGGAACUGUGUAGUUCCUUUUGAGGUGAGUUCAGGAACUGUGUAGUUCCUGUUCUGUAUCUGUGUAGUUCCUGUUCUGUAUCUGUGUAGUUCCUGUUCUGUAACUGUUUAGUUCCUGUUCUGUAUCUGUGUAGUUCCUGUUCUGUAACUGUGUAGUUCCUUUUGAGGUGAGUUCAGGAACUGUGUAGUUCCUGUUCUGUAACUGUGUAGUUCCUGUUGAGGUGAGUUCAGGAACUGUGUAGUUCCUGUUCUGUAACAGUGAAUUCCUUGUUCAGUAGCGUUCAGGAACUGUGUAGUUCUUGUUCAGGUUAGUUGUGGGACCUUUCGUUGUCUCAGAAGGUUCUGGAACACAGCUGUUUGAAUAUAGUCCACACUACUGUUUAGCAAGUUAGCAAAUUGAUGUUGGGUAUCUAAGCAUUUAGCAGCCUGGUUACCAUGACAACAGGCCACUGUUUGUGACCAUAGUUACCAUGUAUUUUAUCAUGCUAUUUUUUUUUUCUUCAUUAUUGCAGUAUUUUUAGAUGUAGCCAUGGAGAAUCUGGAGCUCACAUCAUUUGUAAAAUAAAUAAAUAAAUGAAUCCAUCUUUAAACCUCAUUUCCUCCUGAGCCGAGUGCAGACUCGGAAUUUACGCCGGUUCUCUGUAGACUUUCUUAUACAGGACAAAAACCCGGCAUGUGAAGCUGCUCCUGAUGCAGUCAGCGUUUCAGUACCAGCUUCAGGAAUGUAAAAAGUGUCUCAUGCUGCGCCGUUCCUCCGGCGUUCCUCUGGUGUUCAUAACGCUCUGCGAUUGUCCAUCUGGACGCCGCUCCGCUGAGUCACUCCAUCUACAGACCGACUGCAGACGCAACACGUCCCUCCUGCUGCGUCACUGUCCGGCUUCAGCACCGAGAGGGACGUGAAGCAGACGUGGACUGAAAGACACACACAUGCUCAUCUCCCACGUUCACAUCUGCCGAGUUCUCUCGCGGUUUGACGAUCCGUUCUCGUCCUGAAUUUUAAUAAAAGUAAUAUCUGAGAUAUGACCAGUCAUAAGAUCGUCACUCAGUAAACUCGGUAAUUGUUGCUUCUGAAAAGUGUGUGCACUUUUACAUGACGGGAAGAUUGUAAUAUUCGAAGGAAAAAAAAUGGCAAAGAGUCGUUUGGGAUCUGGUGAGUCGACUCGUAUUGGUGAGUCGAAUCAAACUAAUCGACUCAUUGAAACCCGCUCGGUAAACUCAAUAGCUGUUGCUUCUUGUAAAUAUAUAAACAUAUUACAGGGAAUGUGCGCACUUUGACAUGACAGGAAGAUCGUAAUAUUAAAUGUCAUGCUCUGUAAAAAUUCAAAAAAAUAUCAGUGAGUCAUUUGGGAGCUGAAAGAGUCAAGACAGAUUGGUGAACUGAGUCAAAUGAUUUGAAUCCCUGGAACAAGGCGGAAUUUCCAUCGCUUGUGUGAACGCAGGCCGACGACAGGCUCGUCCGUUAUUUAACUGGUUUUACCUACAACUUAGAGACGGCACGGAUCCGAUACCUGGUAUCGGACAUCGCAGAAAACGUAUUGGACGUCGGAUCCUGUAACAAGACUGCAGAAGAUUGGAUGCGGAUUUGGAAAAGAAACGCGUUUCUGGAACUGGAAAUAUUUACAUAUGGAAAAACUUGACCGUCUCUUUGAUUAGAUUAGAUUAGAUUGCUUUUAUUCUAUUUAUUCUUUAUGAUGUUUAUUGUGUUUACGGUGUUGGUUUACUCAAAGUCAUUCUUCACCUUCAUCACGUAAACGUGAACGUGGUCGUGAAGUGAUCAGUUCUGUGUUUUUGAGGAAGCCGUGAGGAAAUGGAAAUGCGAAGGCAUGACGUUAGCGCGGUCCUAUAACGUCACUAGAACCGUUCGUUUGCGUCCAAACCGCGACCGACGAGGGCGCGCCGGUCGUCGGUUCGACAUCGGCGGGAGUCCACGACUGAAAUGAACGAAACGGAUCCAUCACAAGAGCAGGUCCGGAUAAUCCCGGGCCGGGCCGGGCUCGGGCCAACGCGGACGUUUUCACCUCGCCGUGUUUACACGGCUCCUCGUUCUGCCCGUGUUCGAAUAUAAAAGCAUGCGCUCGGAUCCGUCCGUCACGUCGUUACUUUUCCUCUUUUAUUACCCGGGCCGCUGACUCGCGCUGGGCUUUGGGAAUCUUCAUUAUCAGACCCUGAGGUAAUAAUCUCCUGCGUGGUGUUCCUAAUCAGAUUGAGAUUUACAACAGUGACUAAACCGCACAAGUCCAGUAGACGUUGCUCCGCACGGCCCGGUUCCGUCCAGAUAUUUUCGCAUUGUGUUUUGUUUUUUUUAACGGGGUUUAAACUGACAGUGCUGACACGUUCUUUUCCCGCAGUGACGUGGUCGCGUAUGUCGUGUUAAACGCACUCCAUUUUAAUCACCUACGCCGUAGCUUCCGUUGUAAUCGCUGUUUAUUCUCCCAAUCUCUGGAUUAUUUUUCUCCCCUCUCGCCUUGAUGUGAGGAUGUUAACUACCGAUGGCGUGACAUCA